rnacentral:rRNA from 1 species
CCUACGGGAGGCAGCAGUGAGGAAUAUUGGUCAAUGGGCUUACGCCUGAACCAGCCAAGUCGCGUGAGGGAAGACUGCCCUAUGGGUUGUAAACCUCUUUUGUCAGGGAGCAACGCCGGCUACGUGUAGCCGGACUGAGAGUACCUGAAGAAAAAGCAUCGGCUAACUCCGUGCCAGCAGCCGCGGUAAUACGGAGGAUGCGAGCGUUAUCCGGAUUUUUUGGGUUUAAAGGGUGCGUAGGCGGAAUGCCAAGUCAGCGGUAAAAUCGCGGGGCUCAACCUCGCUCCGCCGUUGAAACUGGCGUUCUUGAGUGGGCGAGAAGUAUGCGGAAUGCGUGGGGUAGCGGUGAAAUGCAUAGAUAUCACGCAGAACUCCGAUUGCGAAGGCAGCAUACCGGCGCUCAACUGACGCUCAUGCACGAAAGUGUGGGUAUCGAACAGGAUUAGAUACCCUAGUAGUC